UCAUCUAGGCUUCUCAUAUUUUUCUUUCUUCUAGAGUUUUCAAUUUGCUCUGUUAAUUAUUAGCGAUGAUCAUAACCUUUUUUUUUUUUUUUUUUUUUUUUUUUUGUGCAGCUUUGAAUUUGCUUGUUGAUUGUCAUCUAAUCAUUUUCUUUUUCAUCCUAGAAUUUGAAUGAUUAUAUGGUUAGAUGACCAUCAACAAACAUAUUCAUGGUAUUGCAUGCAUUGAUUUUUUUUUUGCUUUUGCUUCGGGGGUUAAGCUCCUUGUAAUCUUAUUUUCUUCCUCUCUUCUAAUUUUUUUUUUUUAAGAAAUGAAAAAUCCAAUCCCUAAGAAUUAACAGUCUUUAAAUUGUUUUGCUUUUGUCUUGUUUUAUUGUUUUUUUUUCUUUUUUAAUGAUAAUAUUAAUUAAAUAUUCCCUUUAAUUAAAGAUUCUCUGUUCACGCGCACUUAUACAGUUGUUUUUGCACCUGUAAAUCCCCCAUGAUGCUCCUUAAUAGCAAAAUAUUUCUAUUGAGUAUUUACAACGGUUAAUUAACUUCUAAAUUCAUCUUUCAUGAAUAAUAAUUGCUAUUGAUUCACAGAAUCUUUAUAAGAAAGAAAAUUUACAUAAAGCAAUUUUCUUUUUCAUUAAAGUAAGUGAUUUUUAUUCACUAGACCUUUAAAUAUUUAUAGCAAUAUUUUGAGUUUUUUUCUUUUUUAAAUAUCUGCAUUUUUUUUUUUAAAAUAAAAUCAGAUCAAUAAUUUUACAUGCAAAGAAUAUUUUGAAAGACCAAAUUUACUCAAUUUUCUAUGCCGUAAAAAUGUAAAUUAAUUUUUAUAUUUUAGCUGAUUUAAGAAGACCAAAAGAUAUUUAUUUUUUUAAGGUGAACAGACCUUGACCCUUAAGUUUGCUUAAAUGGUGACACUUAUCCUUUUUGACUAUUAUGUUCUUUAAUUAUAUAUAAACUAAAUAACUGAAUUAAAAAAAAUUUGAGAAAAAGAGUGAAAUCCCUUGGUGUUUGACUAAACUAAUUGAAACUCCUCUGGUGUUUUAAGACACAUCUAAAACCCUUUGAGUGUUAAUUUUUUGCUGAUCUUGCUAUUUCACCCUUGAUGAUUCUUUAAUAUUGAGAAUAUGAAUACCUUUAAUUAUUUAAUUAAUUGAAUAAUUUUUCAAUCAAAAUUAGAGAAAAAAAACUAGGGGAUUGUCAUAAUUUUUAAUUGAUUCUGAAAUUUUUUUCAGAAUUUACUAAAAAUUAAAUGAAAAUUUAAUAUACAUACAUGUAUAAAUACUAUUUUUUGGAGAAUAAAUUAUAUAUAUAUAUAU
rnacentral:lncRNA from 1 species